AAAAGCCUUACAAAUGAUGGAACCAUAUUGACAGAAAAAACCUGAAUGAACAAUUUUCUGUUUAAGUCAAAUUAUACUUUACAUUGAUACACAGUUACUAAGAAAAGGAGGAAGAAACGUGAUAAUUUCCAGGGCCCAAAUAGAUCAGAACUGGAUAGUUUUGGGAAGUCAUUCAUCAUAAAGAAGUUAAAUUUUUAGAUUGAGG
rnacentral:lncRNA from 1 species